rnacentral:tRNA from 1 species
GAGGGUGUAGCUCAGUGGUAGAGUGCAUGCUUAGCAUGAAUGAGGUCCUGGGUUCAAUCCCCAGUAUCUCCA